AAUAUUAUGAACUUCUUGUAUUAAUUUUAACCAAUUUGGUGCAAAAAUCCAAACCCAGAACAGAGAAUGCCAUGCAAACACUUUCUUUCCUCAAUCAGAGGAGAGUUAAAAUAGCAUAUGUGAAAUCAAGUUGCAUUUUUUACAUAUAAAAACAUGAAACAAAAAGAGAAGGAAAAGGGGUAAUCUAUUGUUCAACAUUUAAACUGGAACUGAAUUCUCCUCCUGCAUUGAGAAGUCUGAACCUGGAAGUUGAGUUUUUGAGCUUAGAGAUAGAAGUCCUCUUACAACUUCAACCAUUGAUGGUCGUUUCUCUGGCAUUACAGACGUGCAUCGAAUAGCAAUGUCUAGGGCUCCUAGCAUCUCUUGUUGGUAAGAGUUUGAUAUCUUAGAAUCUAGAACUUGGACUGCUCCAUUGGUUAUGUUGAUUUUCCUUCGAACCCACCUCACGAUAUCAAGUGAAUCCACUGGUUCAGCUUGCUCAGCUAGACGGCCAGUUAUGAGUUCUAGUAGCACAACACCAAAGCUGUAAACAUCCAUUUGUUCUGUUGCUUUCUUACUGUAUCCAAGUUCUGUAACCAAGAAAUCAACCAUAUGAGGAGUUUUUCAGAUCUUAAAUUAGGCAACAACCCCAGUGCAUAUCAAAAAAAUAUAGUUUAGUCAAGUCUCAUCUUCUGAAACAUAUUUGUAAAAAUCAUGGUAAUGCUUCUUAGUUUUAAAUGAAAAACCCAAAAGCAAUUGAAAUUUUGCAGAACGUUAUCAAAAGAGAUCAAAUAAAAGGUCCUAAACUGGUGUGCAAAUUAAUCUGCAAUUAAAAGUAGUCCACAGGAAACAAAUAAGAAUCCGACAAAUGAUUAGGAUUCAUAUGUAAGUGGUUGACUAAGAAGGAAAGAAGUGUACCAGGAGCAUUGUAACAAGAAUCUGCAGAUUCUGAAGCAAUUGUUGACCGGAAUGCAGCUUCUCCCACGAGUCGAUCAAGAGCAAAAUCAGUGAGCUUUGGUUCAAAAUCUGUAUCCAGAAGAAUAUUUUUCGACUUGACAUUUCUGUGAAGUAAAUGUGGAACAUAAUCCUUGUGAAGAUAUGCCAAUCCUUGAGCAACCCCAAUGGCAAUCCUCAGUCUAACACUCCAUUGUAACUGGUAAUCUCUUCCUCCAAUCAUAUCCCCCAAGCUUCCCUUUUGCAAGUACUCAUAAAUUAGGAAAAUUGAUUCAUCUGAAUGGCAAAAUCCAAGAACUUUAAUGAUGUUCUUAUGCCUGAUCUUGGCUAAUGUCUUGACCUCCGCCUUCAGUGCUUUCGAAGUUUGGCUCCCAAUAUUGACUAGCUUCUUUACAGCAACCAGUUCUCCACUUGGUAAACUUAUAAUAUAUACUCUGCCAAAUGCUCCACCGCUUCCUACAGCACUUUUCUCAUCCAUUGCCACAGCCAGAUCAUGCUCAGUUAUUCUAAGAGGAUAGAAAAACACCGAGCUCCAGCCACCCAUUUGAGAUUUCCACUUAGAGGAUCGAUGGAAAACAAAGAACCCAGCAGCAACAAGCAAAAUUCCAAUACCAACUGCUAUAGAGAUUAAGGCACAUGCCAUUGCACUAAGACCAAUCGACCUAUGGUGUCUAGGCAGCUCAUCGGAACAAGAAUUAGGCAAUCCUGGGCCACAAAGAUCAGGAUUUCCUUCCAAGAAUGAAGCAGGGAGACCUGAGACUAGAGCAGAGGGGACUCUACCAGAAAGUUGGUUAAAAGAUACAUUGAAGAGAGCAAGCUUCAAAUUUUGAAGCCCUAGCGGGAUUGAACCAGUGAGAUUGUUAUCAGACAGAUCAAGGUAAGUUAACACUGGCAAAUCAGCAAGGGAUGUUGGGAUUUCUCCAGUAAGACUAUUGUCUGCCAAAGACAAUGAAACCAGUUUCCUGCAUUUUUUUAGUUCAGGAAUUUGACCAGAAAGGGAAUUAUGGGAGAGAUUUAUAAUACUCAUAACUGGAGAAUCACAGAAAUUGGGAGGUAAUUCACCAUAAAAACCAUUAAGAGAUACAGAGAAUCUAUAUAGGCUCUUAACCAAACCAAGACCCUUGGGAAUUUUACUAGAGAAGCUGUUGUUAUCUAUCUGAACUUGCUCCAAUUGAGCUGCCAUUGAUAUUGAAUCUGGUAUUUUACCAGAAAAUCUGUUGUUUUCCGCUCUAAUGAGCUUUAUUUUGCUCAAUGACCACAACGCAUCUGGAAAAUCACCAGAAAACUCAUUGUUUUGAACUUGAAACCUCUCAAGGUUCAAGCAUCCAUUAAUUGAGCUGGGUAUUGGGCCUUUGAAGACGUUCGUGUGGAGACCAAGGUUUAUGAGGCCUUGUGCACCGCAUAUACCGCCUGGAAAUGACCCUGAAAGCUUGUUUUGUGAGACAUCAAAAGACACUAGGCUCUUGAGAGAAGACCCCAGUGUUGGAGGAACCACACCACUUAGAUUGUUCUGUGACAAGUCCAAAAUUUUUAAACUUUGCAAACCCACAAAAGAAUCAGGAAUUUGACCAUGAAAACCAGAGCUUUGCAAAAAAAGUUGCUCAAGCUUCUUAAGCUUCCCAAUAUCACUAGGAAUCUCACCCACCAAAUAUGCAUUUUGAGACAAAUCAAGAACAAUAAGCUCCGUGAAAUUCCCAAAAACAGAAGGAACACUACCUGAAAGCAAGUUGCUUCCCAAGUUGAGUACUUGCAGUUUCACCAAGGAGCCAAUGCCUUCUGGGAUCUUUCCCUCUAUAUGAUUCCUGCUAAAAUCAAGAACUCUCAAAGAUUCAAACUGCGAAAUCUGAUCUGGGAUAGUACCCCAAACGAGAUUGUUACUGAGAUUCAAAGUCACCAAAGAACUACACUGAGAGAGGUGUAGAGGUAUAGGCUGGUUAAAAAGAUUAUCAGAGAGAUUCAAAAGAGUCAAAUUGGUUAGUUCACAUAAUUGAGAAGAGAUUUCACCAGAAAGAUUGAGGCUUGCAAGAUUGAGAGUAGUUACGGUAGGCGAAGAUGAGUUAGUGCAGGAUACUCCAGUCCAGUUACAGUAAUGGAGAUUUGAGCUGCUAGACCAGCUAGAAAGCGAGUUCCUGGGGUCUUCAAUGGAGGCCUUGAAGGAAAGAAGGAUAUCAGCUUCAGUUAAAGCUGAACUAACAAUGAAGAGAGUGAAGCUGAUAGACAGAAAGAAACAGUAUCUGUAGGAAGCAGAAGCCAUAGAAGGACCCUGAGAGAGAGAUAUAGAGAGAGCUUGGCUAUGUUGUUUUCAACCUUUUGUAUAUAUGAGUGGAGCUUUGAGACUGAGAGAGAGAGAGAGAGAUG
rnacentral:misc_RNA from 1 species